GGAAGAGUAUCGAAGUGGUCAUAACGAGCCGCACUCGAAAUGCGGUUGUCCUCCGGGGCACGUGGGUUCGAAUCCCACCUCUUCCGCCA
rnacentral:tRNA from 1 species